rnacentral:rRNA from 1 species
UUGAACGCUGGCGGCAUGCUUUACACCUGCAAGUCGAACGGUAACAGGCCGCAAGGUGCUGACGAGUGGCGAACGGGUGAGUAAUGCAUCGGAACGUGCCCAGUCGUGGGGGAUAACUACUCGAAAGAGUAGCUAAUACCGCAUACGAUCUAUGGAUGAAAGCGGGGGACCGUCAGGCCUCGCGCGAUUGGAGCGGCCGAUGUCAGAUUAGGUAGUUGGUGGGGUAAAGGCUCACCAAGCCAACGAUCUGUAGCUGGUCUGAGAGGACGACCAGCCACACUGGGACUGAGACACGGCCCAGACUCCUACGGGAGGCAGCAGUGGGGAAUUUUGGACAAUGGGCGCAAGCCUGAUCCAGCAAUGCCGCGUGCAGGAAGAAGGCCUUCGGGUUGUAAACUGCUUUUGUACGGAACGAAACGGCUCUGGUUAAUACCCGGGGCUAAUGACGGUACCGUAAGAAUAAGCACCGGCUAACUACGUG